ACUAAGCGGAACCAACUAAUGAGAGAACGAACAUCUCUUAUGUUCUCUAACCUCAGAGCCCACUGCUGCUGGCGGCAGCAAGCGCUAUUUCCUCCCCCUCGCUUUUGAGUUCGACGGCGACGCGCACGGCCAGCCUCCUCAACGACCACCGCCGCUGGCUCGUUAGCCUCAUGUUAGUUGUUUGUUCACUUAUUUGCCUCAGAAAAGGGCUAUUCUGUUUGCCCUAAUUCCAAAAUGGGGCUCGAAUAUUAUAAUUCCUUUCAUUUUUGUGUAAUUAUGGUUAUGAGGGAUGCUGUGUAAAAUGUAAAUUGGAUGUAAAAAAUAAUUUUUUGAUUUUUUUGAGGGUUUUAGGUUAGAGAACUUGAAGAAUUAUUUAAGAUUGUAGAUACUAAUUAUUGAGUACGGUAAUGUUUUUUUCUUGUAAAUUGGUAAUAUAAUUGUUUUAUCUAUGUUCUGAUUUCCCCCCUUCAAGUUAGAGCUCAUGUGUGUGCUUUUGUGAUGGUAUUUGGUAUACGUCUGCUACUGCUUCCUUGGGAAAAUAUUGCCUUAAAAUAUAAGAUUACUAAAAUAGAUGGAUGAUUCUUGAGACGCCAUGAUAAAGUGCAUCCCUAUUUAGUGUCUAUAGGUUUAGUUUCCAUAGUAAAAAUGUAAAAGAGAUUCAUGAUGACGUAGUGUGACCUUAAGCGAAAAUCAUUAUCUCGGCCAUUCAUUUUAUUUCUGCAAGCUGUAUUACUUUGCUUCUUUAUUAAUAGAUAUCAAAGUCAUUUCUGGGCUAACUCUCCAUCUAUUUUUAAUUACAGGCCAUUAGACAAAACUAGGCAUGUGUAGGAGUGUACCUGAACCAAAGCUUACAUUUUAAGCUGCCAUGAUUGACAAAUUGACUGGAGGAGUAUUCGUUUUCCAGAUAGUUGUUGUCAUUAUUCUGGGCAUAGCUGGAAAUGUUUGAAAGAGCAUAAAACAGAUGAAGGUUUCGUGCUCUUAUUCUUAAUCUAUGUCACUAUGAGAGUAAUAUGUUUUAGGGUGCUUAGUAUAUACAUUGCUAACAUGCUAUCCCCUUUAGUGUGCCUUGGUUCAUUUUAGCAUCUAAUGUAAACAUCUUGAUACAUCCCUUUUAUUGCUAUGGCAUAUUCAAUCCAAAAGAAGGUCCUUGGUGAGCUUUUGGUCAUCCCUCUUCAAUUUGAACUACUUUGCUCUAUCAUGAAUCCUCUAUCUAUAAAGGUAAGCUUUCGAGUUUUCUAGUCUUCUUACUUUUAUGUCUUUGUAUUGUUUUGACGAAUCGUGUAGUUAAACUUCUUCUUUAGGGAUGCUUAUGUCUAAAGCUAAUAUUUAAAGAAACUAGUGAGAAUAAAUGUAUUUCAUUAUGUGAAUUUUAACAUGUGUACGCGUGUCUCUGUAACAUAUCUAAACUUAUAUGAGGAUUGUCAAAUGGUCUUUGUUGCAGGUAUCCUUAGAUCUAGUUAAAGCUUGUAUGCCAAAUUUAUCGAUUGGGAUGACUAGAUGGUUGAUCCAGAAAGCAACUAAAUAAGAAACUGUUAAUGCACUCAUACUUAUUGUUCCGUGAAUAUAUACGAAAUUUUGGUUUACUUAUUUUUCACCAAAUUAUUAGAUGAGAGAAGAGAUGAAUAGAACAAUAUAAACAUUCGUUUGGAUGUUUCAUCUUUCUAUAUAUUGUUAUCGGUUAUACUUUUCAGUUAAUUUACUUAGUAUGUGUAUGGAACAUAAUUUAUUUUUUUGAAUUUAUGCAGGAAUUGGGGAAAAGUUCAACAAGAAAGAGCAAGAGGAAGACAAAAUGACGUUGAAUGUCACGUAGUCAUUUAUGAGAUUUGUUUUCUUGCAUAGUCGAUGUUAUAUUUUUGAAUAACAUACCAAACAUGUCAAUCUAUGUUAUGUUAUUUCCAGCUUGACAUUUAGAAAAAAAAUACUUUUAUGUAUUUUGUGUCAAUUUUUUUCUUCUUAAAUUCAGUAACAAGACAUUAUCAAUAAAUACAAUAAUAGAAUUACU
rnacentral:lncRNA from 1 species